GUACAUCAUGAGCGCAAGCUGCUGCCGCGGCGAAUGCCUAUCUACGGUAUGCAGCCACCCUUGUACAGUUACGAGGACAUCCAGUUGUUACAGCAUCCGAGAUUCGCUCUGGUUCCGACGACGGAUGACAGGGACCGCGGCAGGAUAGCAGCCACU